rnacentral:rRNA from 1 species
AUUGAACGCUGGCGGCGUGCCUAACACAUGCAAGUCGAGCGGUAACAGGUGUAGCAAUACAUGCUGACGAGCGGCGGACGGGUGAGUAACGCUUGGGAAUCUGCCUAUUAGUGGGGGACAACCCGGGGAAACUCGGGCUAAUACCGCAUACGCACUACGGUGGAAAGCCGGGGACCGCAAGGCCUGGCGCUAACAGAUGAGCCCAAGUCGGAUUAGCUAGUUGGUAGGGUAACGGCCACCAAGGCGACGAUCCGUAACUGGUCUGAGAGGACGACCAGUCACACCGGAACUGAGACACGGUCCGGACUCCUACGGGAGGCAGCAGUGGGGAAUAUUGGACAAUGGGCGAAAGCCUGAUCCAGCGACGCCGCGUGGGUGAAGAAGGCCUGCGGGUUGUAAA